CCGUGCUAGAUGGGGAGUUAGCGGUGCCCUGUAACUCACAACCCGCUACAGUGAGGUUGAAUUCCCUGUCGAGGCUGUGUUUUUUUCUGACAGUGUCUGCGUAAGUGGUGAUGAAGGUUGGGGCCCUGCGCAAAGAGCCCUCUGUGAACCCCGUCAGGACCGGGAGGUAGCAGCGGCAGCAGAGUGGUUUCUUGUGCUGCAGGUAAGCCUUGCCUGAGCUAACUGCGUGGAUUACGGGGGGAGGAUGCAGUCGGAGCAGGGUGCACGG
rnacentral:SRP_RNA from 1 species